rnacentral:tRNA from 1 species
GUAAGAAUGCCAGAGUUUGUUUAUGGGAUUGGUUUAGGACCAAUCUACGGUUUUAAACCUUCUUACU